ACACUUCCGGCCUUUGUGGGCCGCAGCGACGGCGGUCUGCGGCUGUCGGUUCUGUUUGUUGCUGUCACUGCUGUUUGUUCUUGCCAGCGGCUAGGGUCUGGCUGUUUUGCCCAGAAUGGAGUGCAGUGGCGUGAUGGUCUCGGCUGACAGCAGCCUCGACCUCCUGGGCUCAAGCCUUGGCCUCCCAAAGUGCUGGGAUUACAGGUAUGAGCCACCAUGCCCGGCCCUCCCUUUCUUUUGUGUCUUUGGAUUUGUCUUUGUGGAGAGGGUACCAGCCACCAUCCUGUGAGGAAGCCCAGAGCACAUGAAGAGACCACCUGCACAUGUUCAGAUCCACUGCCCCAGCUAAGAUCUCCGCUGACAGCCAGACCAAUCACCAAUCUUAGGAGCUGGCGAGCCUUCAGAUGGUCCAACCUUUGAGGCCCCCCAGAGGAGCCAGGUGGAGCAUAGAUGAGCCAUCCAUGUGGAUCCCUCCACCAAAUGGAAGAUUUAGGAGCAAAAUAAACAAUGUUGUCAUUGCUUUCACCCAC
rnacentral:lncRNA from 1 species